rnacentral:rRNA from 1 species
ACGUAGGUGACGAGCGUUGUUCGGAUUUAUUGGGCGUAAAGGGUCCGCAGGGGGUCGAGAAAGUUUGAUGUGAAAUCCUGCAGCUCAACUGCAGAACUGCAUUGAAAACUACUCGACUAGAGCAUCUGAGAGGAGAAUGGAAUUCCUGGUGUAGCGGUGGAAUGCGUAGAUAUCAGGAAGAACACCAAAAGCGAAGGCAUUUCUCUGGAAGAUUGCUGACCCUCAGGGACGAAAGCGUGGGGAGCAAACAG